rnacentral:lncRNA from 1 species
CAGAGGCGCUGCGACCGCACGGGCAGCCCCGUCCCGCGCCGGGCAGCCCGGCCGGACCAUGGCAUGGGCACAGGGGGAUCUGACGUCCUCGCUUUCCAUCGUCGUCGCCUUGGCUGCCUGCAUUUCCGCCACCACCAGCGAAGUGAACUUGCUAGACACAUCGACGAUCCCGGGGGACUGGGGCUGGCUCACUUACCCUUCACAUGGGGUAAGUAUGAGGUGGCUGUCGGCACUUUGGGGCUCCAGAGGGACAGGCCACCACUGGCCCACGUGGGCAGGGUGAGUGGACAUCUCAGCCCUGGGCUGGUGGCUUCGUCAGUGCUGAUGGGGCAGAGAGGACCUCGUCUGCUGGGAAAAUGCCGUGCCGGAAAGGCUAGCAGUGGGAUGUGGCCCGUUAGAAAAUGUCAUUUUACACUGCUCCUAGCCCACUGGGAGGGUGGAGAGAAACAGGUUUGCUCAAUCUUCACUGAGUCCUAAGCUUUGAGAUAGUCACUGUCUCCAGGGAAUUCAACAUC